CUCCAUAUCUUCCCACAGCUUUAUUGAACCGCAAAAGGCUUCAUAAUCCCCUCCAGUAGAGGCUAUACAGCUGCUUCAGUAUAUGCAGUUCAAGAAAGCUGUGGAAAAACAUGAAGA
rnacentral:miRNA from 1 species